rnacentral:rRNA from 1 species
GAUGAACGCUGGCGGCGUGCCUAAUACAUGCAAGUCGAGCGAACAGAUGAGGAGCUUGCUCCUCUUACGUUAGCGGCGGACGGGUGAGUAACACGUGGAUAACCUACCUAUAAGACUGGGAUAACUUCGGGAAACCGGAGCUAAUACCGGAUAAUAUAUUGAACCGCAUGGUUCAAUAGUGAAAGACGGUUUUGCUGUCACUUAUAGAUGGAUCCGCGCCGCAUUAGCUAGUUGGUAAGGUAACGGCUUACCAAGGCAACGAUGCGUAGCCGACCUGAGAGGGUGAUCGGCCACACUGGAACUGAGACACGGUCCAGACUCCUACGGGAGGCAGCAGUAGGGAAUCUUCCGCAAUGGGCGAAAGCCUGACGGAGCAACGCCGCGUGAGUGAUGAAGGUCUUCGGAUCGUAAAACUCUGUUAUUAGGGAAGAACAAAUGUGUAAGUAACUCUGCACGUCUUGACGGUACCUAAUCAGAAAGCCACGGCUAACUACGUG